AUAAGACUUCUGUUAGCAUAGGGAUUUUAUAAUACAACAUUUGUGACACGUGUAAAUGUCAUGAAUUCUUGAACACAACAAUCAUGUUAAAUUUUGUUUAUUUUCUUUGUGUUUAGUACCUGGAGGUUUCAAGGGACACAGCUGCUGCCUGAAUACGUAACUGUGCAAAUAGUGAAUUGAAACAAAGGGUAUGCCAUCUCUUGGAUUAUCAUGUUGGAUCCAAUUCAGAGGAAUAUGAAUUGAAAACAGUACUUACAGAAGGUAUCCUUGAUUUUUCAUUAACAUUAAAGAUAAUAUUAGUAUUUUGCCAUUAAACAUAUGUUGGAUAUUUAUUGAGACUGAAGAUUUUUUAAAUUACAU
rnacentral:lncRNA from 13 species